AAUGAACGUUGGCGGCGUGGAUUAGGCAUGCAAGUCGAGCGAGAACCCGCAAGGGGGACAGCGGCGAACGGGGUAGGACAACGUAGGUAACGUACCCUCGGGGCGAGGACAGCCACGGGAAACUGUGGGUAAUACUCGAUAAACUUCCCAAUCAUUAUGGAAGGGGAAGCAAUGGGUGUGAUUCCACCUGAGGAGCGGCUUACGCAGUAUCAGCUAGUUGGUGAGGUAACGGCUCACCAAGGCUACGACGCUUAGGGGGUGUGAGAGCAUGGCCCCCACCACUGGCACUGAGACACUGGCCAGACACCUACGGGUGGCUGCAGUCGAGAAUCUUCGGCAAUGGACGCAAGUCUGACCGAGCGACGCCGCGUGCGGGAUGAAGGCCUUCGGGUUGUAAACCGCUGUCAGAGGGGAUGAAGUAUACGGGAGUUAUCUCCUGUAUUUGACAGAGCCUCAGAGGAAGCACGGGCUAAGUUCGUGCCAGCAGCCGCGGUAA
rnacentral:rRNA from 1 species